CCUACGGGAGGCUGCAGUGGGGAAUAUUGGACAAUGGGGGCAACCCUGAUCCAGCCAUGCCGCGUGUGUGAAGAAGGCCCUCGGGUUGUAAAGCACUUUCAGUGAGGAAGAACGCCUGGUGGUUAAUACCCAUCAGGAAAGACAUCACUCACAGAAGAAGCACCGGCUAACUCCGUGCCAGCAGCCGCGGUAAUACGGAGGGUGCGAGCGUUAAUCGGAAUUACUGGGCGUAAAGCGCGCGUAGGUGGCUUGAUAAGCCGGUUGUGAAAGCCCCGGGCUCAACCUGGGAACGGCACCCGGAACUGUCAAGCUAGAGUGCAGGAGAGGAAGGUAGAAUUCCCGGUGUAGCGGUGAAAUGCGUAGAGAUCGGGAGGAAUACCAGUGGCGAAGGCGGCCUUCUGGACUGACACUGACACUGAGGUGCGAAAGCGUGGGUAGCAAACAGGAUUAGAUACCCGAGUAGUC
rnacentral:rRNA from 1 species